rnacentral:lncRNA from 1 species
AUUAAUGCACCAGACUAUGGCCCAUUGCCUCCUGAUGCUCCUUCUUGGUGCCAAGCUCCGUUUGAUCCCGAAGGACUUUUGAGGUAUCCAUGUUUCUUCUGAUUCUAUCCAUAGAAAAUCAUAAUGACAAGUUGUGUUAUUACACAAAAUUUAUUGCAGUUUUCAGUGUGUGUUAUUCUUUCUUAUCGUUCGUUGCAUUUUGCAGUACAGUGAUGGCUGUUGUUACCUGCUUGGUUGGCUUACAUUAUGGACAUAUCAUUGUACAUUUCAAAGUGAGUGAGACACUCCAGCUAACAUUGUACUUUUACAUGGAUUUGUGUCUGUUCUAUAUAGGAAAAAACAUUGUCUUACUUAUCUCUACUUGCAGGAUCACCGAGACCGAAUGCUUCAUUGGAUUAUACCUUCUUCUUGUCUAAUUGUAUUGGCCAUUGGCCUGGACUUCUUAGGUGAGUGAGAUUCGUUCAAAAUGAUGAUUUUGAUAGAGAUAAUGAAGGGGACUAUACCAAAAUAGUGACUUAAACUCUUUUGCAGGGAUGCAUAUAAAUAAGGUUCUUUAUACAGUUAGUUACAUGAGUGUCACUGCUGGUGCAGCUGGACUUCUCUUUACCGGGAUAUACUUGAUGGUAUUAAGCAACUUCAUUGUUUGAUCUUCACUAACAAUUCAUUUGGUAACUAAAACUGACAACACGGUUAACGAUUGGUUGUGUAUGGUUGUGUGAAGGUUGAUGUGUACAGUUGGAGACGCAUGAAUGUGGUGAUGGAGUGGAUGGGAAAGCACGCAUUGGUGAUAUACGUUCUUGCCGCCUGCAACGUUCUGCCUGUGAUUCUCCAAGGCUUCUAUUUGGGUCAGCCUCAGAACAACAUUGUAAGUUUACUUCCCUAAAUGAAAUGACAGUCUAUUUUCCAAUUAUGAAGUCUAUUUCCCAAUUAUUAUAGUGAUUGAAUUCUGAGUUAUGUUAUGCAAUUGGCAGCUGAGGCUAAUUGGGGUUCCAUCGUGAAGGGGUCUAUCCUUUGGAAUAUAUAGAAUAGACCACAUAGCUCGUGAUGUCGAUUGGUAUUUUCUAUUAAAAGAGGAAGGAGCAAUAAAAUGGAGAGGUAUAUGGUCGCUUCAUGUGGUCAAUCAAGCACUCGCUCGGCUCGUAUCUAAUAGAGAAAAUUAGUUUAGUUUAGUUUUGUGUAAAAUAUUUAGAAGGAAUGAAAUUGAAGUUAUAUAUUAUUAUUUUGGUGCUCUGCCUCUACACAUCACUCCACUCAUUGUAUACCAUGUUUUUAAGCCCGCCCAAUAUAAUUCCACACAAAAGCAGAACUCCUACUGCGUGUUAGUUUUGGAUGAUGAUGAUGAUGAUGAUGACCUUAAAAUCUUAUUGAUGACGACCUUAAAAUCUUUCCUAUACUUUAUGAAGGAAAGUUAUAUGAUAUCAUUUGAUUGAUUGAAUGAAUGGAUUAUCUACUUUUCUAUGCAAAUAUAUUUUAU